AGCUCUUCCUCAGUUCCACCAGAGCUGCCAGCUUCCCCUCGCUGCACACUCUACCCAAAUGGCUUAUAGAGGGGUGGAGAGGUUUUGUGCAGCAUCCCUUGACUCGGAACUGGGAAUCAAAUGAGAUCUGAAGCCAGCAGACUGCUCUGCUUCUGUUGUGUCUGCUGCUCUGUAUGGCUUUUAUAGCUGUAACAGGCCUUGGCCAAACCCACCUGCAUGUUAAUCCAAGAGCUGUGGCUCUGACAUAGCUACAGAUCUCCAACAACAUGCAAGAGCAACAGGAAGGUCUUUGACUGCUCGGCCUCUUCUGCCUGUUGCUGUCACUCACCCCUCCUAUAUAUUUUUCAGCUUCUAUCCGGGGUGUUGCCCCGUUCUGUGAGGGUUCUGGUGGUAUGGGGGCUGGUUGUGUCAGUAUUGAUGAUAUCCGAAGCCUGUUGCUGAUUUUGGGGGUAUUGUUGCAUUGUGUUCCAGGGUUUCUCGCUGUUCGGAGCUCACUGCCUGCUUGCUGAUAGACCCAAGGAACUGCACGCUUAGUGGAAGAGUCUGAGAGCUCGUGAGACCCCGUGGAGGGUAUUGGUCUGCUUUCCUUAAGGCUGAAACUGUGGAGAAACUGAAGUGGAGCAUGUCAGUGUCCCUUGUUUAAAUGGAAUACAGACCCAAGUGUCUUCAAUCCUGAAGAGGCAGCAGUCUGCACAGCCUCACGGUGGCUGCUCUGUGAGUUGGGAGCUCCCCCAGGUGGGAGAGCUGCAGUGAUGCAACAGUCACUGAGAGCUGCGGGCUCUCAGCCUCUGAGGGACACUGCCAGAGCUCCCAUUCAGAUGCUCAACAAGGAAAAACGUUCCUUGCUAUGGAGUUCUUCAAAAGAAGGAAGGUCUGGAUAGGAAAUAUUUGGAGUACGGUACCAAGGUCUGGGGCUUCCAGCACAGGAGAGAUGUGCAGCAAAGCCAGAGCGAGUUGGAGGGGCAGCUGGGUGAUGGCUGCCCUCAUUGCAUCAACCUUUUGGCACAGAGUGCUGAGGUUUGGGCACAGCAGAUAUGCCAAUUAAUCCUACAGCUCAUUCUCACCUCUUCAUCCCUUUAGACAUGUAGCUCCAGGUAUAUGACCUCUUAAAGUUUUACUGUUAAGACUUUUCCAUUAUGGUAUGUAAGUAAUUUUAUUAUAAAAUAAUGGUAAAAUACAUUUUACAAAAUGCA